CACAUCCCACCCACCUUAAACAGAAACACUUCCAUGAAGUCCUUUGACAACGCCACACUGAACCCUAAUGAGAGUUCCAUAACAAGCAUUUGGAUUGCCUUGUGCAACCUUGACAAGCCCUCUGACCUCUCUAAGUAUCAUUUUCCCUUUUGCACACUUGAGUACAUUGGUUUAGAAUGCAAACUUCAGAACCUUUGUCAGAAAGGGUAGAAUGGGUACAUUUAAGGAAAUGAAAAUAAAUGGACAGAAACAAAGAAAUGAAGGAGUUCGGUGACAUCGGAUGGACCUUAGAAACAAGGACAAAGAUGGAGAAGGAAAAGGGUGCAGAUAUAGAGGAAAUGUGAAAUAGGGCUUUGGGAUGUAAGUAGGAGGGCGUCUCAGGCUGAAUUUUUUUUUUAAGAGUGAAAAAUAGAGAGGCAGAUGUUCAAUAUGAUUUUGGCACCAGCACUGAGAAUUCGGAAAGAAAGACACUGGGAAUAAGAAAUCCAAGAAAGAGCAGGGACAUGUAUCAGAUGUUGAGUUAUACAAACUUCUUACUUCUGGAUGAGAUCACGCUAUAGGCUGAGAAGCAGGAUGAAGAAAUGGUCUCUAAAUUCCAUGCCUGGAAAAAGCAGCUAUGCAGUCGAUGAGCACACGAGAGCACAAAGGAUAUCCUAUGCAUCUUGCACCAGAGAGCCAGGGAACAAGUCAGAAAAAAUUUUCAGAGGUCCGGAAGUCAUUCACUGGGAUCCCAUUCAAAGCCCUUCUCAAGCUCUUGAAACACUGACUCUCCUCUACAACUGAAGAAACAGCAAGAAGCCCUUCAUCAGAUGCCAGAACCUUGAUCUUCGAUGUCCCUGACUCCAGAACGGCCACUGAAUACAGCGUUCACCUUGGCUGGGACUCCUGCCCCCAUCAGCACCUUAUAUACAGCAAUGGAAAUCAAAGCAUGUGACUAUUGAACACGGAGCAGUUCCUUACCUGUUCUGGAAAAAAAAAGACUGUCUAUCAACAAAUAAUGCACAUCUGAACCACGUUCCCCAUGCUACACCCUAGCCCCACAGGUUUCUGGGCAUAAAACAUUUGGAAGAAGUCGUUAGAGAAAAGAACACUGCCUGGAGAAGAGUUUGGAAGUUGCCUGUUUGGGCAGACACACACGGAACAGGAGAGUGGAGACAUUUGCAGUCCUUGGCUUCCUGUGAAAGAGCCAUUGUUGUCAAAGAAAGUUCUCAGAGGGGUUGGGGAAAUGGUUCCAUCGAUAAAGUGCUUGACCACGAAAGCAUGACGACCUGUGUUCAAUCCCAAGCAUCGUGUAAAAAGUUGAGUGUGAUGAUAUGUAUCUGUCAUCCCUCCACUAGAGAGGCAGAGAUAUGAGGAUUCCUGGAACUGUUGGCCGGCUAGCCUGGCUGAAUCUGCAAGCCUCAAGUCCUAGUGAGCAAUCCUGACUUAGAAAGUCAAGGCAAAUGACUCCUGAGGAACAACACUGAAGGUUGACUUCCGGCCUCCACACACAUAUACCCACAAGAAAGGGAAGGGAAGGGUAGGAAAAGUAGGGGAGAAGAAACAGAAGGCUCCCAGAACUGGUAUGAUGGGACACACCUGUGACCUCAGCACUGAGGAGGCUAAGGCCAGGCCAGAGGGUUACAAAUUCUGGCCAGCCUGGACUAUAUGGGAAGACCCUGUCUCAAACGAAGAAACAAAGAAACAAAAUCAGAGGGUGGCCACUCUGCUAUAUAACCUCUUUGUCCUAGUUUCAUUUCUAUUGGGAGAAUCAAAUACUCCAACCAAAAAGCAACUUGGGAGAGAAGAGUUUUCUUUCAGCUUACCACUCCAGGUCACUGUCCAGUCUGGAGAAAAGCCAAGGCAGGAACCUGAACUGAUUGCUAGUCCAUACAGCAUUACCUCAGACCACAGAACUCACUCUACAGCCAUAGAAGUGAAUCAGGAACCACGAGGAUAUGGAGGGUAUUGCUUGCUGACUGGUUCAGCUAGCUUUCUGACAGUGUUCAAAACCAUCUACCUAGGUAUGGUGCUGCCCACAGUGGGCAGGGUCCUCCUAUAUCAAUUAAUAACCAAGAUAACCAUGGACAUGUCCACAGACCAAUCUGAUCUAGGCAUCUCCUCAAUGAAGGCUUUCCUCUCAGAUAACGCUAGGCUGUGUCAAAUUGACAGUUAAAGCUAACUAGCAGAUUCGGAAUGCUUCUCAAAAUGAGAUGUUCCUCAAGGUCAUCUCUGAGGCCUUGGACUUUAGAUCUGCCUGACAAACACCAAUUAACCAUCCUGAUCCCACAGCCCCAAGGGAGCUGGCAAACAUAUUAACAGAUGAGCACAGUCUAUACUACCCCUUCAACCCCAACAGCUUUCUAAAGGGCCCUUUGAGGAAGAGCGCUCAACAGCAUCAUAGAAUGCUCACACUGAAAUGGGCCAGCAAAAGCCUAGGUCAGUCAUCUACUACCUGUGUGAUGAUUUACCCUGGAAAAUUAGUUAUACCCACCAAGCCUCAACCUCUUUAUCUACAAAAAUCCACAUGCACCACAAAGUAUAUUGUUAAAAUGACAUGCUCUUUCCAGUUUAUAGUGACCUGUUCCUACAGCAAAACUGCUCAUGUUCAAUAAACUACUGCAUAUUAUAAAAUACUAA